GAUGAACGCUGGCGGCGUGCCUAAUACAUGCAAGUCGAGCGAACGGACGAGAAGCUUGCUUCUCUGAUGUUAGCGGCGGACGGGUGAGUAACACGUGGAUAACCUACCUAUAAGACUGGGAUAACUUCGGGAAACCGGAGCUAAUACCGGAUAAUAUUUUGAACCGCAUGGUUCAAAAGUGAAAGACGGACUUGCUGUGACUUAUAGAUGGAUCCGCGCUGCAUUAGCUAGUUGGUAAGGUAACGGCUUACCAAGGCAACGAUGCAUAGCCGACCUGAGAGGGUGAUCGGCCACACUGGAACUGAGACACGGUCCAGACUCCUACGGGAGGCAGCAGUAGGGAAUCUUCCGCAAUGGGCGAAAGCCUGACGGAGCAACGCCGCGUGAGUGAUGAAGGUCUUCGGAUCGUAAAACUCUGUUAUUAGGGAAGAACAUAUGUGUAAGUAACUGUGCACAUCUUGACGGUACCUAAUCAGAAAGCCACGGCUAACUACGUG
rnacentral:rRNA from 1 species